UGCCAGCCGCCGCGGUAAUACGGAGGGGGUUAGCGUUGUUCGGAAUUACUGGGCGUAAAGCGUACGUAGGCGGAUUAAUAAGUUAGAGGUGAAAGCCCAGGGCUCAACCCUGGAACUGCGCCCGAAACUGCUAAGCUUGAGUCCGGGAGAGGGUGGCGGAAUUGUCGGUGUAGAGGUGAAAUUCGUAGAUAUCGGCAAGAACAUCUGUGGCGAAGGCGGCCACCUGGAUCGAGACUGACGCUGAGGCACGAAAGCGUGGGGAGCAAACAGGAUUCGAUA
rnacentral:rRNA from 1 species